AGAUUGAACGCUGGCGGCAGGCCUAACACAUGCAAGUCGAGCGGUAGAGAGGUGCUUGCACCUCUUGAGAGCGGCGGACGGGUGAGUAAUGCCUAGGAAUCUGCCUAGUGGUGGGGGAUAACGUUCGGAAACGGACGCUAAUACCGCAUACGUCCUACGGGAGAAAGCGGGGGACCUUCGGGCCUGGCGCGGAUAGAUGAGCCGAUGUCGGAUUAGCUUGUUGGCGGGGUAAAAGCCCACCAAGGCGACGAUCCGUAGCUGGUCUGAGAGGAUGAUCAGCCACACUGGAACUGAGACACGGUCCAGACUCCUACGGAGGCAGCAGUGGGGAAUAUUGGACAAUGGG
rnacentral:rRNA from 1 species